rnacentral:rRNA from 1 species
UACGUAGGGGGCAAGCGUUGUCCGGAUUCAUUGGGCGUAAAGAGCGUGUAGGCGGCCAGGUAGGUCGGUUGUGAAAACUGGAGGCUCAACCUUCAGAGGUCGACCGAAACUAUCUGGCUAGAGUCCGGGAGAGGAGAGUGGAAUUCCUGGUGUAGCGGUGAAAUGCGCAGAUAUCAGGAAGAACACCCGUGGCGAAAGCGGCUCUCUGGAACGGUACUGACGCUGAGGCGCGAAAGCGUGGGGAGCGAUCCGG